GAAGACGUCAAGACGAUCGAGGCACGGACUGUACGCUGUUAUCCUCAAAAACUUCACUAAGAUCGGUGCUGGACCGGCGAACACUUUAGGCCUAUUAUCAGAGGACUUGCUAACAUGAAGAAAAAGGUCCAGAGGUUCCACCUGAGAGCCGGGACUGUCAAAUAGUAAGAGACAACGAAAAGGGGGGAACUGUCUUUAAGCUGUGGAGUCAGAUGGAGGGCUCACAUUUACCUCAAAAACGGCAUUGCAGAAGACUCAAACAACUAGAACCAACUCAAGCACACAAUGGUGACACACAUUUGUAAGACCUUUCCCUGUGAUAUAAAAUUUCCC